ACGGGUCGCGGGCUUGCCCCGCUGGGCUCAGAGAAGGGACGUCGGAGAGGGCUCCCUGCUCCUGCCCCGUCACGCGUGCCCGCAGUGUACUAGAGUCCUGGCGUUCGUGGAUGGAAAUAGAAGCCUAUGGAGUAGCUGAGGCUGAACACCUUAGGGACCAGCAACCAGAUGGUGUCGUUUGCAGUGAAGAUCGAACUCGAGUUGUAGCCGAAUUGGAGAGGAGAGAGUGACAUGUGCGCCCCCUUCCUGCGGUCGGUAGAUGCACCAUGGGAAGCUCGAGCAGGUACACGGGAACCCAUGCAACUUUCUGUGGGAACUUUGGACAUGGCAGGUCCUUAGGAAGAGCUUGUUACCAAGGCGAGAGGAGCAAACUGUUCUUUCUCUUGCGGGAACCCACUGGAGUGAAAGACACAGGGGUUAAGCACAAGAGGAGGAUCUGGGUAUGUCUCUAAUCUGUUGUUACUCUCCAGAUAUUCUUGACCCUGCACUUACUAGGGUGGGUGUAUUAGAAGGGAUGGGCAUGGCGGUUAGGAGUGGGGUCCAUCCACACGUGCUUCCAGCCCUAGAGACCAGCAGCACGAUCUGCACUCCAGCCUCCGCUUUCCCUCUGGGAAACCUACUCUUUUUUUUUUCUUUUAAUUUUUAUUUUUUUGAGAUGGAAUGUCACUCUGCUCUGUCACCCAGGCUGGAGUACAGUGGCAUGAUCUUGGCUCACUGUAACUUCUGCCUCCUAGGUUCAAUCUAUCCUCCUGCUUCACUCCCAAGUGGCUGUGAUUACAAGUAUGCACCACCACACCUGGCUAAUUUUUGUAUUUUUAGUAGAGACGGGGUUUCACCAUGUUGACCAGGCUGGUCUCGAACUCCUGAUCUCCAGUGAUCUGCCAGUCUCAGCCUCUCAAAGUGCCAGGAUUACAGGCAUGAGCCACCAGGCCUGGCCAGAAACCUACUCAUGAGACCAAAGAGUACCCACAAACCAGAGCCGUCUAGGGAUCUAUCUGAAAGCAUAGCAACACCAAGGCCCAUAUGUGUGUGAGCUGACUUCAUCUUCACAACAGUCUUGCUGUAAAGAGGCUGUUUUGUAUAUACCCAUAACAAUAACAUUAGCCACUUUAAAGUGCACAAUUCAAUAGCUCAUUGUCCCCAUUUCACAGGUGAGGAAACAGUGACUCCAAUGAAGGCAUUUGAGAUCAUCUAGCCAGUCACCCAGAGAGGCAGGAGUCUCCCCUACAGGGCAGGGGGCCAAGGGGCCUGGCCUGCAGGGCUCACUCAUGUUUGUAUUUUCAGAGCUGGGACAGAGUCCGUGCUCAGUAAAUACCGAAUGAAUAGAUGUUAGCGUAAAUGGCAAAUGAAUGUCCAUGCACCCACACUAUUGCAUUUCACCGUGGUCCCUCUCUGGGGAUAAUUUUCUUGGAUUUUGCCUCCUCCUCUAGCUCCUGAUAAGUGAUGCCCGGGCUCAGAGCAAAGCAGGCUAUAAGGGUAGCCGAGCUCACAGGGACUAGCCCUCCGUUUAGACAGACACGUGGCCAGGCGCAGUGGCUCACACUUGUAAUUCCAGAACUUUGGGAGGCCGAGGCAGGCGGAUCACCUGAGGUUGGGAGUUCGAGACCAGCCUGACAAUCAUGGAGAAACCCCAUCUCUAAUAAAAAUACAAAACUAGCUGGGUGUACUGGCACAUGCCUGUAAUCUCAGCUACUCAGAAGGCUGAGGCAGGAGAAUUGCUUGAACCUGGGAGGUAGAGGUUGCAGUGAGCCGAUAUUGUGCCACUGCACUCCAGCAUGGGCAACAAGAGCAAAACUCUAUCUCAAACAAAAAAUAAGACAGACAUGCCCCUUUCCCUGCCAUAGCCUCCAGCCAAGCUCCAUCCACCCCUGAGGCUGUAGCACCCUCCAGUGGCCCUGACAGGGGCGGAUGUGCCAUCAGCUCUGUCCUUACUAGCUGUGUGAACUUGGUCAAGUCGCUUAGCUUCUCUGGGUCUCAGUUCCUCAUUUAUAAAAUGGAACAAAUAAUAAUAAGGCUCUCAUACAUAAGAUGGGACUGACUUUUUGCAGAGUUUAGCAUGGUAGUUCUGUUCUUACACAGUGCAGCUACAGAAAAACGUCUUUCAUGAUGUCUACAUGGAGGUGCACUGUACCAGUCUCUCUAUGUCUUGGUAUUUGGACAUUUUUAUUAUGUUUUUUAAAAUAAAAGGACUCCGGCUGGGUGUGGUGGCUCAUGCCUGUAAUCCCAGCACUUUGGGAGGCUGAUGUGGGUGGAUCACCUGAGGCCAGGAGUUCAAGACCAACCUGGCCAACAUGGGGAAACUUCAUCUCUACUAAAAAUACAAAAAUUAGCCAAGUGUGGGUGGCCCAUGCUUGUAAUCCAGCUACUUGGGAGGCUGAGGCAGGAGGAUCACUUGAACCCAGGAGGCAGAGGUUGCAGUGAGCUGAGUCAGUGCCGCUGUACUGCAGCCUAGGGGACAGAGGGAGACUCCAUCUCAAAUAAAUAAAUAGGCCGGGCAUGGUGGCUCACACCUGUAAUCCUGGCACUUUGGGAGACCAAGGUGGGUGAGUCACCUGAGGUAAAGUGUUUGAGACCAGACUGGUCAACAUGGUGAAACCCCGUCUCCACUCAAGAUGCAAAAAAAUUAGCUAGGAGCAGAGGUGCACAUCUGGAAUCCCAGCUACUUGGGAGGCUGAUCUUGAACCCAGGAGACAGAAGUUACAGUAAGCCGACAUCGCACCAUUGCACCCCAGCCUGGGCAACAGAGUGAGACUCCAUCUCAAAAAAUAAUAAAUAAAUAAAUAAGGGACUCUUCAGGCAACUCGAUGAGGCAUUUCCUGAAGGAAGAUAGAUGCCCUGUUAGGGGGUUAGGGCAGGUCUGGAAGGGUCAGCGAGGAUAGCACAGAGAGCAGAGGAGAAUAGACAAUAUUUCCUCCCUGGCCGGGCACAGUGGCUCAUGCCUGUAAUCCCAGCACUUUGGGAGGCCAAGGUGGGCAGAUCAUGAGGUCAGGAGAUUGAGACCAUCCUGGCUAACAUGGUGAAACCUUAUCUCUACUAAAAGUACAAAAAUUAUCUGGACAUGGUGGCAUGUGCCUGUAGGCCCAGCUACUAAGGAGGCUGAGGCAGGAAAAUUGCUUGAACCUCGGAGGUGGAGGUUGCAGUGAGCCAAGAUUGAGCCACUGCGCUCCAGCCUGGGCAACAGAGCAAGACUCCGUCUCAAAACAAAACAACAACAAAAAGUGGAACCAGAGGUGGAAGGCCAGGGAGGCAUCCUCCACAGGGGGCCUUUUCACUGCGCUUCUCUGAUGGAAAGAUUAGAUGACUCAGUGUAGAACCCAGCACUGAACAUGGUUAGCCUGUGAGAGAGGACAGGACACAGAGCAUGGUUUCUUCUAGCCUUAUCUUCCCAGCAGCCAUUGUCUGAGAUCCCUCACCCUUGGGGUGCACUUGCAGACUCACAUCACACCCCACUUCCUACUAUGUUCUUACACCUCUUAAGGUUCCAGAUCAUGAUGAAAAUGAACAUUGGCAUAUCUUGCCCUCUUUGUCCAAGAACCAGCCCAUUCCCCACCCUCACUUUUUUUCUUUUUGAGACAGAGUCUCACUCUGUCACCAGGCUGGAGUGCAGUGUUGCGAUCUCGGCUCACUGCAACCUCUGCCUCCUGGAUUCAAGUGAUUCUCCUGCCUCAGCCUCCCAAGUAGCUGGGACUACAGGUGCACACCACCACACCCAGAUAAUUUUUGUAUUUUUAGUAGAGACAAGCUUUCACCAUAUUGGCCAGGAUGGUCUCCAUCUCUUGAUCUCGUGAUCCGCCCGCCUCGGCCUCCCAAAGUGGGGGGAUUAUAGGUGUGUGCUACCGCACCCAACCAGGGUCUUUGUUCUUGGAGGUAUAGCAGGGACACUGUUCGAUCUGAAAGGCACAGAUCUAAACAUCUCUCCCUCAUCCACCUCUGCCUUCAAACAUCUCCCCUGCUGCCCUGUCCCACAAUCUUAAAUUUCAUCGUUCACCUUCCUUUGGGUAUUAUCUCUGAAAGCUCCUGUUAACAAGUAGAUGGGCUAGCACACUUUGGGGUGGAUAGCGCCCCUGCCGCAAUACCCUGGAUUGCUUCCAGAUACAGACAUGUGCUGGAUUUAUGCGGCUACGUGGCAUCCUUCCCGCCUCCUUUCCAGGGGGUUUUCCCUACUGUAGGAAUCUCAGACAAUGGGGUACACAUAGAACUAUGCUGGAGCACUGCUCACAAGCCCAACAGCAUCAACUUUUAAAUUAUCAGGAAUUGUUUGAGCGGGCUGUUAAAUGGUUGGCAAAUAAAAAUAAGUGACAGUGAGAAUGUCUUCACCAUGGAAGUCAGCAAAUGCUACAACUCAGGGCUUUCCCCACUCGUGAGCAAGCUGUUAAAUGUUUCCCAGCCCAACCACCACGCACGGCACCCGGGUUUAGCCGCCUGAUCCUCCUUCUGAGGCCUUGACUCUCAGGCCAGUGACCCAAGACACAGGAACAAGACAGAAUCCAUGUACUGCAGGAGCAUCUGGCCAUGGCGGGGUGGGGGAGAUGUAAUGGGGGAGGUGGCAGUGCCCAAGGGUGUCAGAGUCAGCCGCCCCUCCCUGGCAUGACUUUGGCUGGGUCUUCCUCUUGCCUGCCUGCCUUCAUUUCCUGCCCAAUUUCCAAGCCUUCUUCUCCUGCCUUCCCAUCCAUUUCAAGAGCUUCCCUUUUCUGCUAUGUUAACCAUAGUCACCUAUAUGAAGCUGAGGAGUCUGGUUCAUAUAGGUGACUAAUCAUUUGACAGACAGAGGUGCCUGACAAAAGCAAAGAAGCUCUCAUUUUGAUUCCUCAAGAAGGGUGGCUGCUUGGAGCAGAGCAGCCUCGGCUUAAUUACUUAGCAAACAUUUAUGGAGCACCUACUGUGUGCAGGCACUGCCCUAGUGCCAGGACAGGAAAGGGUCAGGUACAUUUUUGUCCCCAAGGAACUUACCACCUAGCUAAUGGAAGCAGCUCUCAAACAACUAAUAAUGCAAUGAAUUUUUCUGUGCACUGCUCCAUCGUCAUUGAGUUAUACCACAUUACUGAUACAUAUUUGAAUCCUGCAGUGGGUAAAGCACCACGUAACGUACAAAGGAGCAUACCGAAAAAGAUGAAACAAUCUGUCCCUCCCUCUCGAGUUCACAGUUUAGCUGACAACACAGGUACAUGCUCGUGCUGCUGAGUAACUUUCCAGCACAGGUUUCCACUUGUCAGGAGCACGGGGAGCUGUAGCUUCCAAUUUUGGGGAUCAGGAAAGGCUUAUGUGAAGAACGUGAGAUUUGAGCACAGCCUGGACUGUGAUUAACAACAAGAAAAAAAAAGUGCAACAGUGUAGAAAACAUACCUGUAAAAUUAGCCACCUGAAAUUCUACUGCCCAAAGGUGACCGCGGUUAACACAGCCGUAGGCUCCCUUCUGCAUAGCUGCGGGAUCCUGUGGGCACACGCUUGUAUAACCAGCUGUUUUUACUCAACAAUACAGCAUGGACACUUUUCCAUGCCAAUUAUUCCCAAUCUGCAUCGCCAUUUAAGCGGCCAGAGAAUAUUCCAUUAUACGGAUGUACUCUAAAUUAAUCAAAUCCCCAUCGAUAAACAUUUAGUGUUGCGGUCAAGGGCUCAGACUCUGGAUCCUCAGAGCGUAGCAUCAGUCCUGGCUCUGCCAUUCCCGGCUGAGUGAUGGUCAGCAGAAUCCUGGCCUCUCUGAGUAGGCUCCUGCUCUAUUAAGUGGAGGUGCAGUUGUCCCUCGGUAUUAACGGGAAUUGGUUCCAGGAGUCCCAUACCAAAACCCACAGAUGUUCAAGUCCCUUGUAUAAAAUGGUGUGAUAUUUGUAUAUAACCUGCACAUGUCCUACUGUAUA